GACGAACGCUGGCGGCGUGCUUAACACGUGCAAGUCGAACGGAAAGGCCCUGCUUUUGUGGGGUGCUCGAGUGGCGAACGGGUGGGUAACACGUGAGUAACCUGCCCUUGACUUUGGGAUAACUUCAGGAAACUGGGGCUAAUACCGGAUAGGAGCUCCUGCUGCAUGGUGGGGGUUGGAAAGUUUCGGCGGUUGGGGAUGGACUCGCGGCUUAUCAGCUUGUUGGUGGGGUAGUGGCUUACCAAGGCUUUGACGGGUAGCCGGCCUGAGAGGGUGACCGGCCACAUUGGGACUGAGAUACGGCCCAGACUCCUACGGGAGGCAGCAGUGGGGAAUAUUGCACAAUGGGCGGAAGCCUGAUGCAGCAACGCCGCGUGCGGGAUGACGGCCUUCGGGUUGUAAACCGCUUUCGCCUGUGACGAAGCGUGAGUGACGGUAAUGGGUAAAGAAGCACCGGCUAACUACGUG
rnacentral:rRNA from 1 species